rnacentral:rRNA from 1 species
UACGUAGGGGGCAAGCGUUGUUCGGAUUCAUUGGGCGUAAAGGGUGUGUAGGUGGCGCGCUAAGUCGGGUGUGAAAUUUCGGAGCUUAACUCCGAAACUGCAUUCGAUACUGCGGUGCUUGAGGACUGGAGAGGAGACUGGAAUUCAUGGUGUAGCAGUGAAAUGCGUAGAGAUCAUGAGGAAGACCAGUGGCGAAGGCGGGUCUCCGGACAGUUCCUGACACUGAGGCACGAAGGCCAGGGGAG